UCCUUCUUUGCGCAGGCGCACAGAGAGUUGCUCUCUUUCCUGGGCGGCGAAGGGAGCGAGGAUGGAGGCGAAGGCGGAGGGGGACCCGGGGCGAGAGCGCCGAAGGUGGGAGCCGGCCGCGGAUCGGAGCGUGGCCCCAACGGCCGGGGAAGGAGGGGAAGUGGCGUGCGGGCCCCCGCUCUCCGGGACCUCCUACUGGCUGGACUUCUGGUUCAUGAUCCUCCUCGACCUGGCGCUCUUCAUCUUCGUCUACUUGCUGCCGUGAAGCCGGACGCCGCCCCUGGGGGGCAGGGCAACCAGAUUCUAAUACAGAAAACCUAUCAUUGUCACACCUUCAGCAGCAGCUCGGAUGAGAAUAGAAAUAAGAAUAUUGGAACAUGGUAUACGCCCACAGAUCAAUAAGAGAUGGUUGUGAUAACUGUAUUGGGACUUUGUGGCUUUAACAUGCUGGAUGUGAUCUUCCAUUAAUGAACCUGGAACAGAAAUGUUGUCUGACAUUUAUUCUUCACUACGAAGCGCAAAUAGUGCCUUAAGAAGUUACUGAAGUGGUUGAAGCUUUUCAACUGUGUUGAAGUUUUGUUUCCUGUAAUUAUGAAUCUGUUUAAUAAAGCGUAAUUUAAAAUAGGUAGCUGAAUACAUAUUUUGUGAUAUUAACACUCCAAGAAUGUUAUGGUUAUGUCCCAGGUGUGAUAAAACUGUAGAUUAUACUGUGGGACCCUCUUCACUUGAGAAAUGUGGGUGCACAUGUGUACAGUUUCUGUAAUAAAAUGGGAUAAUUUAACUCUC